rnacentral:rRNA from 1 species
UGGGGAAUUUUGGACAAUGGGGGAAACCCUGAUCCAGCCAUCCCGCGUGUGCGAUGAAGGCCUUCGGGUUGUAAAGCACUUUUGGCAGGAAAGAAACGUCAUGGGUUAAUACCCCGUGAAACUGACGGUACCUGCAGAAUAAGCACCGGCUAACUACGUGCCAGCAGCCGCGGUAAUACGUAGGGUGCAAGCGUUAAUCGGAAUUACUGGGCGUAAAGCGUGCGCAGGCGGUUCGGAAAGAAAGAUGUGAAAUCCCAGAGCUCAACUUUGGAACUGCAUUUAUAACUACCGGGCUAGGGUGUGUCAGAGGGAGGUGGAAUUCCGCGUGUAGCAGUGAAAUGCGUAGAUAUGCGGAGGAACACCGAUGGCGAAGGCAGCCUCCUGGGAUAACACUGACGCUCAUGCACGAAAGCGUGGGGGGCAAACAGG